rnacentral:rRNA from 1 species
UACGGGGGGGGCAAGCGUUGUUCGGAAUUACUGGGCGUAAAGGGUUCGUAGGUGGCCAACUAAGUCAGACGUGAAAUCCCUCAGCUUAACUGGGGAACUGCGUCUGAGACUGGAUGGCUUGAGUGCAGGAGAGGAACGCGGAAUUCCAGGUGUAGCGGUGAAAUGCGUAGAUAUCGUAAGGAAGACCAGUGGCGAAGGCGGGUCUCUGGACAGUUCCUGACGCUGAGGCACGAAGGCCAGGGGAGCAAACGGG